rnacentral:rRNA from 6 species
GGUUGACCUCGGAUCAGGUAGGAAUACCCG